rnacentral:rRNA from 1 species
ACGCCAAGGACGCCGAGCGAGACCUUGGCCGCGUCCAGGUCCGGGUGGUCGGCACCGAGCUCCCUGACCACCGCGAACCCCUGGCUCGCCGGCGCCGGCGUCACGAUCCUCAUCCCGACCACGUACUCGUGUACGGCGCUGCCCUUCCCCCAGAGCGAGCUCCCGUGCGCGCCCGUGGCCAGCAGGCCCCCGAUGCUGACGCCGUACCAGUAG